rnacentral:rRNA from 1 species
ACUUGUUUUCACGUCUCCCUUUGCAAUUUGAAUGGAUUGGAACCAGUUUGAGGGAAUUGAUGUGGAUUGCAUUUACUUGCAAUCGGCCUUCCUGGUAUACUUACGAGCAUUGAAAAAUGCUUGUUAACAAUUGUAUCUUAUUGCUUAAAGGCCAAAUUUCUUUCAAUAUUUUGAUCUCCAUCAUGAUCAAUAAAAUAUUGGAAGAGAAACCUUAUAAACUAUUUUCACCACCUUUUUGCUAGUUGACUUUUUAUAUGUGAUCGUUUUGCUUUAUGCAAUGUGGUCGCACGUUUAAUUACUUGAACGUUAAAAAAUACAACUCUUAGCAAUGGAUAUCUUGGUUCUCGCAACGAUGAAGAACGCAGCGAAAUGCGAUACGUAAUGCGAAUUGCAGAAUUCAGUGAAUCAUCAAAUCUUUGAACGCAAAUUGCGCUCUUGGGUAGCCCUAGGAGCACGCCUCUCUCAGUAUCGGUUCAACAAUCUCUCAGCAGCGUGUUUUUGAAUAAUUGGAAUAGUGGUUGCAAAACUACAGUUCUUUGAUCUUUCGAAAACGCGUGUUGGCUGGAUAAUGAGAGUCUGUAUGCUUUUGUCGUACAGUCUCUUUAAAUACAUGGAGUAAGCAUAACUAAACGAUUAAAUUCCCACAGUUUAUCAGUCAUCCUGCAAAGGAAGAUAGAAGAAUAGAGGGAAUAGUAGAGUCUCUGAUUUUGCUUUAUUCGUAGUGACGUGAAUAAUAAGCCUUUACCGGUUUAACUUUUUAUGUUUAUCUACUUGAGCUAAGCUAUUAUAAAUCUAAGAUUUAACGAAACAAUUGUUAUUACUAGUUGUAUGUUUACGUAUAGAAAACCAUAUGGCUUUUUGUUUGAUAGAAAUAUUAAAACGAGAAUCCUGAAUUUUGAUCUG